CGAUAUUCUCAUCAAAGCGUACCGUUUUCCACCGGCGCGGUAAAAUCGAAGAGACAGAGAAAUGUCUUAUGUGUCAAAACGUUGGGGAGGCUGCUAAAUUCAGGAAACUUACGACUGAUAAACAGUGUCCAUGCAUGUACAGGAACGCCUCUUGAUGGUAGAAAGGACACAAAUCAAAGAAAACAACUUGUGGUCAAAUCAAAUGGUUAAAAGAACAAACAAUAAGCCCAUAAAUCUCUUGGUGAGAACUCAUGGGGUUCUGAUUAAUUGACGGGGAGUGUUGGAAAUUUUAUCAAAUGUGCAACACCAGAUCUUCAAACUCCAGUCCGCGAACACUGC